CAGCAGCCGCGGUAAUACGAAGGGUGCAAGCGUUACUCGGAAUUACUGGGCGUAAAGCGUGCGUAGGUGGUGGUUUAAGUCCGUUGUGAAAGCCCUGGGCUCAACCUGGGAAUGGCAAUGGAUACUGGCAAGCUAGAGUGUGUCAGAGGAUGGUGGAAUUCCCGGUGUAGCGGUGAAAUGCGUAGAGAUCGGGAGGAACAUCAGUGGCGAAGGCGGCCAUCUGGGACAACACUGACGCUGAGGCACGAAAGCGUGGGGAGCAAACAGGAUUAGAUACCCGCGUAGUCCCUGUCUCUUAUAC
rnacentral:rRNA from 1 species